rnacentral:lncRNA from 1 species
UUAGUGGAAGAAUAAAAUUUUUCUUUUCUCCUCAUUAGCAAUCUUUAGUAUUCAUUCCUCCAUUAUUCCUUAAUUCAUUCCCUUCUUUAAGCACAGUUGCAGGAAACAGGUUUCCUGCUCAUAAGCUUGCCUUGAGUCACUGCAACACUACAAUCUGUGUGUGUGUGAUGCUUCUUGCCGCGACAACAUCUUCAACGAUUGAUAAUCUUGUGGAUACAGUGAAACUCUCAUCUUGAAAAUGAUUUCUUGGUAAAAACGAUCUAAUAGCCCCCGCUCUUUCUACAAGUUGGAGGUUCAACCUCUCUUGUGCUGGUCCAAUAAAGCGGGAUGAGGAUGUUUUGUGGAUGUUGAGUGGUAUCUCUUGGGGUGUUCGCUCUUAGUUGGCUUUUCCCACCACCACUUGGUGUAUAUGGCGUGCGCGUAACAAUGUGGUUUUUAGAGGAGAAGCUAUAUUAAUUGGAAAGCCUUAGAAGACAAGAUUAUUUAUAUUUCAUGGUUUUGGUUUAUAGGUAAAAUAGCUAGUAAGUCUUCUUGUGUUUUUUCAUAUUGGUGUAAGGAUCCA